rnacentral:lncRNA from 1 species
GAGAUCAUGGUGGCUAAGAGGAGAAGGAAAGACACUUCCAAGGCAUUAUCAAUCAUCAAAAAAAGAAAGAUUGUAAUGCCUCUGUCUUUGUCUUGCACCGAUGUUCAGUGUGCAAGGGCCACAGAAGAGCAGCAUGAGCUGAAGAAGGUGAAUGUACAUCAUCUGUUCUAAAAAACAAACAAGCACAUAUCUGUUUCAAC